rnacentral:rRNA from 1 species
CAGUAGCCGCGGUAAAACGAGGGGUGCAAGCGUUAUUCGGAUUGAUUGGGUGUAAAGGGUGUGCAGACGGCUUAUUAAGUCACUUGUUAAAUUCUUCGGCCUAACUGAAGGUCUGCAAGUGAUACUGAAGAGCUAGGGGGUGGGAGAGAGAAGUGGAAUUCUCGGAGUAGCGGUAAAAUGCGUAGAUCUCGAGAGGAACACCAAUGGCGAAGGCAGCUUCUUGGUCCAUUCCUGACGUUCAUACACGAAAGCGUGGGGAGCAAACAGGAUUAGAUACCCGUGUAGUCCCUGUCUCUUAUAC